CCACACCAGCAAAAAAAACUCCAUCGACCACAUCUUUCGUUCCCCACUCCUCACGAUCCCAUCGUUCGUUGCCGCCGCCGUCUGAGGGAGACGCCACUGCUGUCUGAGGGAGACGCCGCCGCCGCAUCUCUCAAUCCCAUCCAUCGUUGCCGCCGCCGCCGCCGCAUCUCUCAAUCCCAUCCAUCGUUGCCGCCGCCGCUGCCGCAUCUCUCAAUCCCAUCCAUUGUUGCCGCCGCCGCCGCCGCCUCUGCCACCGCCGAGAUCCGAGACGAUCCGCCCCCGCCGAGGACCGAGUGGAGCGGCUGCCUCCACGUUGCCGCCGCCGGCGCUGGCCAGGCUCCCCACCGAUGGGCGCUCCGGGUCGCCGCUCCUCAAGGCCAGUUCCCCUUGCUGCUCCAGAUCGCGCCUCGGUUUGUGAUCCCUUGGGGAUCCUGCCGGUGCUGGAGGCGUCCGCGAUGGUGCGGACUUAGGACCGAGCGGCGGGGCACGUUACGCGUUCUGGUUGAGAGAUUGGUCGGGCUGGCAUGGGAAAUGAACUGCCGUCGAUGGAUUUUUUUGGCAGCUUGGCUGCAUGUUGCUUCAGAUUUGGUUUGUAGGUUCAUUGGAACAAAUGUUCAAAAGGAAGAUGCACUGUAAGAAUUACAGUAAGAAGUUCAACUACGAGCCCAGACAUGAGGUAUUUUAACCGCCAACAAAGGGUGUGUUGCUCUAAAAAUUAGUAAUCUUCGCUCCAAAUUCUUAGGUCACUGGUCCAGGUUAGUGCCCAUUGUCAUUGUGCAUCUCUGUUAACUAUUUUAGAACUAGCACAAAUCUGAGUAGAGCUGGAACAAAAUGAACACCCAGGGUUCGAGUACCUCUACUAUGAUAUAAUUAUCCUCCAAACAUGUGUCAUUUCCUUAUCAAGAUGGUUCUCGUGAUUUAGGAAAACUAACAACACCUCAAUGGUCUUCGCACUAGAUUAGCUGUAGGAUCCAUUUUCUGGAGCAUUUUGAUUUUGGUAGACUAUUUAGAUAUUUCCAUACAUACACUUUACUGAAGGUUAUUUUGACGGAACGUUAGCUUGGAAGCUUUUCCAUACUAGAGGCAGUUUGUGUUGUGAUGAAAUUAAGAUUGCUCACAAUAUUUUGCAGGAUAAAAUUAAUUACAGUGUAAGUUCUUUGGUGUGUGAUCCAUUACAAUACAGGAAGUUUGUGGUUUAUGCCAUAAAAUUUCAGUUAAUAUUUUGUACAUGAAGUGAUCUAAGUCUGCCACACUGUUCGCAUUUGUAGCUUGCUUUGUUUAAUAAAUAGAUUGAUCUUAUUUUCUAUAAACUUUUUUAUUUAACCUACUAACUUCAAAUACAUUAUAUUUGAUCCUUCAAGGGGCAAAAUAGUUCAGCUCUUUGUUUUACAAGUUUCAGGAUUGAAGGGGAGAUGCUACAACAGUACAACUACAAGUUCCCUUGCUUCUUUGUAAGGGAACCAAUCAACUAACUUAAUGAGAUUGAUGCACGAGAGCUUCUAGAUGUUCUUCUCGAUCUUGAAUAUUCAUUUUCUCCAACUAUGCAAGAUUUGCUUGUGUAUAAGUUUGAUAAGGCCAAGGAUGAAGUAUAUAUGCGUUAUGUACAGUCCUCCGGAAUUCAGAAAUUGAUCUAUAAUUCUCUGAAGAGAAGGUUUUCAAACCCAAAGGAGCAUUGGCAACCUUAGGGACUUGGGCGCCAACGUGUAGUCCCUGCAGAAGUUGCUCACUCGGAAGGUGGUCUUCUCCAAGGCCUCCCUAGCCUUUGAACAUGACCGCUCCAUCAAGGGUAAACCAUUGAGUGGCAAUGAUACAUGUGUGUCCAUUGCAACUUAGAGGUACGACAUAGUGAUUAGCAGGAUGAGGUGCUGAGCACAUCGCGUGUGUGUCUGUAUGUGUGCGCUGAUAUGUGGUUCAUGAGGAACAAACUGAUUAAGCAUGCUCCAAAGCUACGAGCGACUGAACUAGGUAUCUUUUAUAUUUUCAUGGUGAAGCCUGGUUUUAACUGCUAAAGAGUAGCAGGAGAUGGAAUCAUUGAAAUAUAACCCGUUCUUAAGUAAAUGAACUGAGACUUGAUGGUUGUGUGUUAUUGGUACAAUAUGUAUUUUGGGCCUGAAUUGUGAAGCAAAUUGAGAAUUCCUGGUUACUUAUUAUUAGUAUAGUAUACCUUUUUUGGGCCUGAAUUCUGAACCUUGCUGAUUUUUUUGGUAGUGUGUUAUCAGUGUAGUAUGCAUUUUUGGCCUGAAUCCUUAACCUUAUCUAGGUAUUGAUUUUCUGCAAUCAGUGAAGCACUCAUGGUCAUGCGUAUUUGUUACUUUGUUAGUCUACAUUACUUACAGAUUUAGUUGUUUUGAUAUGUAUCCACUCGUUGGUUAGUUAACUGAAAUUUGUUGGCAGUGGUUCUUUAUGUUCUUUAACUGUUAUACAUUAGCAGCGGACUGAAACAUUUAAAAACAAUCAGCUCUUUAUGAAUUAACUAAAGACUUGAUGGUUGCGUUAUUAUUAUAGUAUAUACAUUUUUGGGCCUGAAUUACAAAUCUGAUUCAAAUAUCCUUGUUUUGUGUUAUUAUUAUGGUAUAUGUUAUCGAGCUUUGUUAAUGUUUUUUUCCUUUCCUUCCUGAACUUCUGAUACUCUCUGCAGUGAUGAAAUGUUUUUGCAUGUCAGUUAAGUACUAGGGUAACCGCAGAUGAUGUUCCUUCCUUUCAUUGAGUUGCCUGUUGCCUUACUGUUAUGUCGUCCAACUUUUUGUUAAUAUACACACUCGACAACUUACUGUUAUAACGUCCAACUUUUUGUUAAUAUACACACUUGAUUCUGGAACCCAUGAACUCUUUGUCUCUCCGAGGACAUGUUUCACAUCUACUCCUGUUUGUAGAAAAACAUUAUAGUCUAUUAUGUGCUAUAUAGGCAAAAAGUACAUAAUUGGUUCUCUUCUAUGUGCUUUCCUUAAUGAAUACACUUGGUUCACAAAAGCCUUAGCAUAAUUUGUUGAACAAGUUUUGCCUAAUUUUAUUUCUUGCAUCUCGUCUGGUAAGUUUUAUUUCUUGGUACUUGUAAAUUGUUCAGAUUACUUAGCUUCGUUCAACUGCUGUGUUGACUAAAUCUACUGUGCCUAUAAACAUAUGUGCUUGCCCGUGACCAUGUCGGCUAUGUUGUUAUUCUUUCUUGAAUUGGUAGGUUGAAACCAAGAGGGCAUUGUAAACUUUGAUGACACUUUGUGGGAAACCAAUUACUUCAUGGCCAGAGGUGAUUUUGAUAUGGAGAUUUCAGUUGAGAAGAUAUUCCUUGCACAGAAAAUGAUGAUCUACAAGUGCAACCUUGCUGGUGAGCCUGUUGUCACAGCGAUUGUAGGCACCAUCCAUUCCAAUUGUCCAUUGGUUUAACUUCAGUUUUUUAUGUACAACUUAUAGGCCAGACUGAUUUUUUUACUUGCCCUGAUGAAGCUAUAGACUAUACACAUAAGAUGCUGAUUUUGCAUGCUAUACUUGUGUAAAUGUUGUUCCACCUUCCCACUUUGUAAUUUCAUGGCCAUUUCAGAUGAUCUAGACAUUUAAUGUAUGGAAUUUACAUUGGCACUAAAUAAGGAAUAUUGGAAGAUAGUAUGCCACAGUAUCUGUUAUGAGCUUUUCAGAAAGUUGUAAAGAAUAGUUCUAUUUUUUGUGGGUAGUCAAUCAAAUUAUGGUUCUUGGUUGAAGCCCUCUUGAUGAACGACACCCCAUGCCACUAGCGACAAUGACCACAUGGAAGAGAUUAAGAACAUCAGCAACAUCUUGCGGUGUUCCUCCUCAUCGUUGUUGUCACCACCGAAUAAUGACGACCAGGUCAUUAGACCGCUACUAGAGCAUUUGAGCCUUCUUGAGAAGGCAACACAC